UUACACAGCUAUGAAGUUCAUGCUCUGAAAAGUCAGCCAACCUCUGGGUGACACGUGCUGAGGUGUUGGACAUGGUCUGUGGUGAGCAAGAGAGAUGGAAUAAGAGAUAGUCAUCAGAUCUAACGGAAAACAUGGAAAACACUGAAAUACAUCCUCAGAAGAGGUGGGUUUUAAAGGAUCAUUGAGGAGACAACAAGACAAGAAUGACUUCAGAGAUUUUGGAGCAGUUGUCUUCAACCUUUGAGGUUCCUUCUUUGUAGGAAGGCAGAGUUUUCUGGUGUUUAGUAGAAAAGGUGAAAAAGCUCUCGAGUUCACCAGAGAAAUCAGAGAUAAGAAGAUCAGGGGUCAUAAGGUAAAAGAUUAAGAAGUUCAUAGCAAAAAGAGAAUUCUGCAGUUAAAGAUGUUUCAUUGUGGGUUUCCCCCAUAUUCUCACAUUUGGCUUUUUUUAGGAAUUAUUUUGUUGCUGGAAAUACUGAUUCAUUAUAGGGGUUUUUUUUUUCCCCACGAACAUGUUUGAACUUUACAGGAUAUGCGUCC